rnacentral:ncRNA from 2 species
AGAUGAGGUAGAGGCGCGGUAUUUAACAGUCUUUAGAGGAGCAUGAGAAAGCUAUGAUGCUAAGGAGAAGGAAAUAUCGCCGAAGUGUGUAAUAUUCUCAGUAUUACAUGCUGGGCCUGCAGUUAAGAGCUGUAGGACUGUCUUAAUAAACAUCCCGGUUUAUUAAGUUGUGCUAUCUCAUUU